rnacentral:rRNA from 1 species
GACAGAGGGGGCAAGCGUUGCUCGGAAUCACUGGGCUUAAAGGGCGCGUAGGCGGGCUGCCGCGUCCGGGGUGAAAUCCCACGGCUCAACCGUGGAACGGCCUCGGAUACGGGCGGCCUCGAGGGGGGUAGGGGCAUCUGGAACUGUGAGUGGAGCGGUGAAAUGCGUUGAUAUUCACAGGAACUCCGGUGGCGAAGGCGAGGUGCUGGACCCCAUCUGACGCUGAGGCGCGAAAGCGUGGGGAGCAAACAGG